CCCAGACAGCCAGGAUGUUGGCUUAGAAGCAGCCAUCAUUUAAAGAAAGCGUAAUAGCUCACUGGUCGAGUCGGCCUGCGCGGAAGAUGUAACGGGGCUAAACCAUGCACCGAAGCUGCGGCAGCGACACUGAUGUGUUGUUGGGUAGGGGAGCGUUCUGUAAGCCUGUGAAGGUGGCCUGUGAGGGUUGCUGGAGGUAUCAGAAGUGCGAAUGCUGACAUAAGUAACGAUAAAGCGGGUGAAAAGCCCGCUCGCCGGAAGACCAA
rnacentral:rRNA from 1 species